AUUGAACGCUGGCGGCAGGCCUAACACAUGCAAGUCGAACGAGUGGCGGACGGGUGAGUAAUGGCUGGGAAACUGCCGGAUGGAGGGGGAUAAAUACUGGAAACGGUAGCUAAUACCGCAUACCAUCGGAUGUGCCCAGAUGGGAUUAGGUAGUUGGUGGGGUAACGGCUCACCAAGGCGACGAUCCCUAGCUGGUCUGCGAGGCUGACCAUCCCCACUGGAACUGAGACACGGUCCAGACUCCUACGGUAGGCCGCAGUGGGGAAUAUUGCACAAUGGUGGCAAGCCUGAUGCAGCCAUGCCGCGUGUAUGAAUACGGCCUUCGGGUUGUAUAGUCCUUUCAGCGGGGAGGCGUUACCCGCAGAAGAAGCACCGGCUAACUCCGUGCCAGCAGCCGCGGUAAUUC
rnacentral:rRNA from 1 species